CCUGCCAUUCCCUUGGCAGUAGCCUACCGCCACAUGCGGCCUUGGUAACAGGACGGUGUGAAGCUGGCGGAACAAUGUAACCCAUCCUCAAUAUGAGGUAAACCGAGCCCUCGAGGGGGAAGUGUAUCCGCUGCGAGCACAACGCGGAAGGGGGC
rfam:Methylomonas denitrificans strain FJG1, complete genome.